AACCAGACUCCUACGGGAGGCAGCAGUGGGGAAUAUUGCACAAUGGGGGGAACCCUGAUGCAGCGACGCCGCGUGAGUGAAGAAGUAUUUCGGUAUGUAAAGCUCUCUCAGCAGGGACGAAGAUGACGGUACCUGCAGAAGAAGCCCCGGCUAACUACGUGCCAGCAGCCGCGGUAAUACGUAGGGGGCAAGCGUUAUCCGGAUUUACUGGGUGUAAAGGGAGCGUAGACGGCAGGGCAAGCCAGAAGUGAAAACGCAGAGCUUAACUUUGCGACGGCUUUUGGAACUGCCCAGCUAGAGUACAGGAGAGGUAAGUGGAAUUCCUAGUGUAGCGGUGAAAUGCUUAGAUAUCACGAAGAACUCCGAUUGCGAAGGCAGCUUACUAAACUGCCACUGACAUUGAUGCUCGAAAGUGUGGGUAUCAAACAGGAUUAGAUACCCCUGUAGCC
rnacentral:rRNA from 1 species